rnacentral:rRNA from 1 species
UACGAAGGGGGCUAGCGUUGUUCGGAAUUACUGGGCGUAAAGGGCGCGUAGGCGGUCCUGAUCGUCGGAUGUGAAAGGCCUGGGCUCAACCUGGGAAUGGCAUCCGAUACGGCGGGACUGGAGUGUGGGGGAGGUUGGUGGAAUUCCCAGUGUAGAGGUGAAAUUCGUAGAUAUUGGGAAGAACACCGGUGGCGAAGGCGGCCAACUGGACCACAACUGACGCUGAGGCGCGAAAGCGUGGGGAGCAAACAGG